rnacentral:rRNA from 1 species
AAUAGAUACCCAGGUAGUCCACGCCCUAAACGAUGUCAACUAGCUGUUGGGGCCUUCGGGCCUUGGUAGCGCAGCUAACGCGUGAAGUUGACCGCCUGGGGAGUACGGUCGCAAGAUUAAAACUCAAAGGAAUUGACGGGGACCCGCACAAGCGGUGGAUGAUGUGGAUUAAUUCGAUGCAACGCGAAAAACCUUACCUACCCUUGACAUGUCUGGAAUGCCGAAGAGAUUUGGCAGUGCUCGCAAGAGAACCGGAACACAGGUGCUGCAUGGCUGUCGUCAGCUCGUGUCGUGAGAUGUUGGGUUAAGUCUCGCAACGAGCGCAACCCUUGUCAUUAGUUGCUACGAAAGGGCACUCUAAUGAGACUGCCGGUGACAAACCGGAGGAAGGUGGGGAUGACGUCAAGUCCUCAUGGCCCUUAUGGGUAGGGCUUCACACGUCAUACAAUGGUCGGGACAGAGGGUCGCCAACCCGGCGAGGGGAGCCAAUCCCAGAAACCCGAUCGUAGUCCGGAUCGCAGU